AUGGUGCCCUGGUGGCCUGUAUUACAGUAGCCAGUACAAACAUGACAGAGGAUUUAUGAUUAACACUUGUUUCUUUGGAUAAUGUUAUAUGAAGCACCAAUACUUCAUACGAGGUAUACUUAAAA